UACACAGUAAAUACAAGUGUACAAUAUUGAAACAUUCAAACGUAGGUACUUAUCUUUCCCAAUAUAUUCCCUAAUUUUAGUGAAGACUGAUUCAAAUUCCCCAUAUUUUGCUAAAAUAACUCAUUCAAAUCGAAAAGAUUUAUUCAAAUAUGCAGGAAAUCAUAAAUACUAAUGAGUUCCUCUUCUCUAUUUCCUCGAAACCAUAAAUACUUAUUCAAUAUGCUGCAGAAAGGGGAAAGACACAAUUGAUGAAUUCCCCUUUUGUAUUUCCUCGCAACCAAAGAUGCUCAAUAACCUUAAUCCCACAUCUAUUCUCAUUAAACUUUCUCUAAUCAGACUAUUAGGGUUUUUGUGAAUGUCACGGGCAUCAACAAGGCUUUCAUGCUUGCUAUACUCUGAUUCGUAAUCUGAUAUGCCUCUGUCAUUUGCCAAAUAUGACUCCUUCAGAUGCUCUCCACUCUUCGGUUCCAUCUACAUCAGCCCUCAUAUGCGCACAUAUGUCCAACAUAACGGUAAACCUCUUAUCUAUGAUGUCUUUUGACUAUCUUGACCUCCAUCAUAUGAACUUCAUCGAUUUUCAUCAUAAGGUCCUAAACCAUCCCCAAUCCAUCUUCUAAGAUCUAGAUCUUUCUUUUUCUCAUAUCUACAGAUCGCAGUCAAAGUGCACCCAUGGUUAUAGUCCUUUAAGCUUAAACCGGGAGAAAAGGUAUGCUUUCUCAAUUAUGACUUCCUAUUCUCCAUCGAUUUCUGAAGUAUGUGUUUUAUGCUCAGAUGUGUGAUUUCUUCUCUUUAAGAAUUGUUUAAUCAGUUCAACUUUUGCACAACGUGAUACUCAUGUUUGAUUUUGUUAGUUUACAAUAUGUUUGUUGGUUCAGGGUUUUCACAUUUUACCUUUUUCCAGCUUACCAAGGGUUGUGGAUAAACUUUACUUUUUGCUUAAAUUUUUAUGAGUUGGAUUUUUUAUCACCGAGAUGUUGGUUGUAUACUAAUUUUGAAAAUCUUUCUUCUAAUUUGGUUACAUGAUUUUUGAUCGCAAGUCAAUUGCAAGGGAAGAAGUCUUGGCCAUUUUGUUCUUUAUUUUGGCAGUCCAGUUAGAGAAAAUGUGGCAGACCAACAAGUCUUGUAGAAGACCAAAUAAGGCUAAUAUGGCUCUCUCUCUCUCUCUCUCUAGGUCUUUUGUGUGUAGGACCUGUUAAUAUGUGUCCUUAUGGGAUCAAAGUUGGUGGCAUGGUGCUUUCGAUAAAGUUUUGGGUUAUGUUCUAUUUUGAAUGCAAGUUUCACUCUGGAAUGGAUUUUGGGUAAACAAAUGAAUCUUUUUGUUAUUGUCCAACAAAACAUGGGAGUCUUAAAGUACGCUAAUGGGAAUAUUUUAGCUUUACCUACGCCCAGACCGUUUUUCUAUUUCUCCCUUUUUUGGUCUUCAAUAGUUAUCUGGUUGGAUAUUUUCACAUUUUGAUUAUAUUUUUCUUGUGGCUUUCUGUUUAGAGGGAUUAUUGUGUUAAAUUAAAUUCAUGGAUGGGAGGCAAUAGUGAUGCAGAAAUCAAGUCCAUGGAGAGGAUUAAAGUUGAAAAUUGUGAUGAUAUGCAAAUCAUUUGAGAGGGGAAAUUGUAUGUUAUCCCGGUAAGUGCACAUUUAGACUAUGGAUUUUGAUGGUUAUAUUCUUUUUUUUUAUUAUUAUUAACAUAUGUAAUGCAAUGUAGUGAUAUUUUUUUUCAGGUAAUAGCUUUGCUUAUGGAUAUCCAACAUCAAAUACUAGAGAACUGUGGAAUCAAUUUAAUGCAGCCCAUUGAUUUAUUAAUGCACAUGGGAUAUUUAAAUUUCCUUAUAUGUAUAGGAUCAUAGGAAAUUUCAUUAAGACAUGGCGGAAAGUGAAUUAUUUUGUGCAUGGUUUUUAUAUUCCUAAGUUAAUAUAUACAUACACGAUCCAUGUGGGUGUUAUUCAUAUCCUAAAUAUUCAUAAUUGUUAUAUUAUAUAUGUUUGAAAUCUUAUUUUUGUUAAAUACAAAAUUGUAACUUUUGUUUUUCAUCAAGAAGUUUACUUACUUUUGCAAUCUAUGUUUCACAAUAAAAUCUUAAAUUCCGGUCUCUACUAAAUUUAGAUGAGAAAUCCUAACUUUAAUUAACAUCACCUUAUUAUAUUAAUAACCACAAUUCAAUAUUUUGUACAAGUUUGCUAAAUUUGAAA
rnacentral:lncRNA from 1 species